UAAUUAUUUUAUUAAAAAAAUUAUUUAAACCCAAUUUGUUAUGAAUUUAAAUAAAUAUGUAACAAAGUUUUUCCUAUUAAGAUCUUAAAUUGAAGAAAAAGGAUCUUCGUGAGAGCUCGCUGACACUUGAAUAGCCGAUACUCGCUCUCUGACGCCUCUUCUUUUAGGAUUCCAAGUGGGAAAAAAAAAGGAAAAGCCAACAUCUCGAAAAAAAAAAAAAAAAAACUAGAAAUUAAAAAAAGGAAAAAUUUUUUCGGGGGGAGGGGGGGGGGGGGAGGGGGAGGGGGGGGAUGGGCUUUGGUUACCUCGGCAAGAUGUAGUUGCGUUCGGCAUCAUAAUCGGCAUAAUCGUACUUUUCCUUUGUAUUGUUUGUUUCAUCACCAUUGAAGGCACCUGCAAGCGCCGCAAUUCUUAGUCUUCUCCCAAACACCUCCUUUCCACGCUUUUCUUAAUUUCUCUCCUAAUACUUUUAUUAGUUACCAAUUUUUUUGUUUAUUUAUUUUAUUUUUAUCUUUUUGGUUGAAAUUUGAACAUGGUGUUUUGUAAGAAGCAGAUUCAGAUCUUGCUGUCUUUGUUACUGCUUUUACUCUUCUGCGCCAAUCUAUGCCUUGGUGGUGGAUUCUGUGCGUCGCCGGUGCAUGAUCAUUCCCAUGGACACCACCACCACCACCAUCACGACUGCGACCAUCAUCAUCACCAUCAUGAUGAUAAACAUGACAGUCACGCGAUUGAAUCGAAGCUGCCAGAGGAAUUGGCGGAGGAGGAGGAUAUGAAGCUCUAUGGAUUUAGUAACUACCACAUUCAUGAUCACCAUCCCAGUCGCGGUCACGACCGUGAUUUGAAUCUCACUGUUCUAGGUCUUUGGUUACGUGCUUUGGGAUGCUCACUUUUGGUGAGCUUGGCUUCCCUUAUCUGCCUGAUUAUUUUGCCAGUCAUAUUUAUACAAGGAAAACCAUCAAAGGCAGUUGUUGAUUCUUUGGCUUUAUUUGGGGCAGGAGCUAUGUUAGGGGAUGCCUUUCUUCAUCAAUUACCACAUGCCUUUGGUGGUGAGCACUCUCACUCUCAUGAUCAUGGCGCUGACCAUGCUCAUCAUGCUUAUGUUGGACAUGGACACUCACAUGCCCAUUCUUUGAAAG
rnacentral:misc_RNA from 1 species